rnacentral:rRNA from 1 species
UCUUGAUUAUAAAUUAAAUAAUAUUUACCUGAGUAGUAUGAAUACAUAAAAUUUAAAACUCAAAGGGCUUGGCGGUGUCUUAGACCACUUAGGGGAACCUGUCUCAUAAUCGACAGUCCACGUUAUACCUAACCUUUUUUUGUUUUCAGCCUGUAUACCGUUGUCGUCAGGUGACUUUUAAAAAGUUAUAAGUCAGCUAUAAAUUAGAUAAAUUAAAACGUCAAAUCAAGGUGCAGCUUAUGAAAAGGGGAGGAUGGGUUACAAUUACUAUUUAUAAUUACGGACAAUUUUAUGGAAAUAAAAAUUUGAAGGAGGACUUAAAAGUAAAUUAGAUUAUAAAAAUACUUUGAAUUAGGCUCUGAGACGUGC